UCUCCGUUGGUGAACCAGCGGAGGGAUCAUUACCGAGUUAUCAACUCCCAAACCCCUGUGAACAUACCCAACGUUGCUUCGGCGGGACCGCCCCGGCGCCCUUGGCGUCCCGGAACCAGGCGCCCGCCGGAGGACCCAAACUCUUGUUUAAACCAUAGUGGCAUAUUCUGAGUCUCACAAGAAAAAUGAAUCAAAACUUUCAACAACGGAUCUCUUGGCUCUG
rnacentral:misc_RNA from 1 species